CAUACCCCGAUCUGGUUACCCCUGCUGGUGAGCCAGACAGAUGCUCACUGUGUGAGUGAGUGAGAGAGAGAGAGAGAGAAAGAGAGGAGCAGGAUGUACAAGCUGCUGUGGUUCUGGACGAGCGUGGCUCUUCUGAUGUCCUGCUGUGGGCUUCAACUGGACAACAUCACACAGGACCCAGGAGAAUACGACUAUUCAAAACUCCACAGACUACUACCUAUUCUUUGACAAUGAAACGGUGAUUGACUAUGACGACUGGGGAAGUGGUUCAGCCGACCAGACGGUAGGAUAAGGUUUCAGUUCUUUCUUUGAAAAUAUUAUAGCAAGGGCAAAAUAACUAUAGUAAGUAAGAAUCAGUAUAGCCACCAUCCAUUCUAUCUUGGUCUUAUUGUAUGUUGUACUUCCUUACACUUCAAAAUAGUACAUAGCAUCAUGAAGCGUCUUAUCCUAGCUGUCUUUGUUGGGUACAGGGAAUGGGUUAAAAUAGCGAUUGUUAGUUCUGUUGUCGGCUCUAUGAACAUCCUUACGGUACCAACAGAGAUACAUUGUUGUUUCUCUUUCUUCUGACAAAUGUGCUUUGGAUGAAACCGUGUAAAUGUAAAUGUCUAUAAAACUCCUCAGAACAUCCCAACACAAUCGACCUUUCCUUUCCUCACAGGUUGUCGGUAUGGGUCAGGUGACCCUGGUUCUGCUGCUUGGAUUGGCUUUCCCACAUGUCCUUCAUUGAGUGGGCGGGCUUUAAGCCUCCAGAUCUUCGGCCCAGCCAGAGAGGGACAAGUUUGAAGCGUCCAAUCAGAAGGAGAGACCAUGGUACCUGUCUGAGCUCCGUCGACUCCAGCACCGCCCAGCACGAUUACUAUUCCCCACAGUUGGACAUCGUUUCCAUCAUGGCUAAGAAACAUGCAUUCAAAUGAUAUUUUGCAGUUUAUUUUUAUAAAUAAAGGUUUGUUCAAAUCCCUGGUUCAACCCCAAGUUCCCCGGUGAUCAGAGAUGCACAUCGGUGAACAGUCGUUGUCGUACAUUGCAUGACGGGUAUGAGGAUGUGGAGCACUAUUCAGGGACCCUGAUUGGUUGACUGUUUAGGACGCGUCACUGUCAUAUCUCACAGGGUACAGCGGACAUGUUUGAACCCAUCUGGAUCUCAUCUCUGAAUGCGCCACACUUAGCAGCAUCACUUCAUUAAGGCCCCGUUUACACAAAG
ensembl:lncRNA